UACAGGAGGGGCAAGCGUUUAUUCGGAAUUAUUGGGCGUAAAGGGCGCGUAGGCGGCUUGGCAAGUGGAUGGUGAAACUCCCUCGGGCUUAACCGAGGAACUGCCGUCCAAACUGCUUUGCUUGAGACCGGGAGAGGUGAGUGGAAUUCCCAGUGUAGCGGUGAAAUUCGUAGAUAUUCGGAAGAACACCAGUGGCGAAGGCGACUCACUGGCCCGUUACUGACGCUGAGGCGCGAAAAGCGUGGGGAGCAACAGG
rnacentral:rRNA from 1 species